UUAUAAUUAGCUUUUCCAAAUUAAUAGAUAGUUUCUGUCAAGAUUAAUACAUACUGUUUGAUUGAAGUCCAUAUUUGAUUACACGUUCACACAAUUUGCAACGUUGUUUCAACAAACUAACAGUGUGAGGUUUAACUUUUUUUGUGUGCAGAAAAUGGAUGACAACACUUAAUCGAUCAUUGUUGAGGAUUUUGAAACCCGACCUUCAUAAAGAAAGCAAAAUGUUCUGAAUCGGGUGUUUUGAAAUGGAGGUUUAACUUUAUUUGUAAGGCCCGCUCGGUACGUCCACCCUGAGGCAUCGCCAUCUACAUGGUGGAAGAGGUUCGUCACUGUGGACAACAUCAGCGGCGACGUUGUUUCCAAUACGCAGCAAGUGCGCGACUUCGGUGAGGGUGCACAAGGUUUCUGCAUGUCCCUCAAGUUCCUGCCCCCAUACCGUCGCUCUCGCCAGUCACAGCCGGAAGCUUGGAACCACGGCCUGCUCUGAACGAGUCUCCAUCUGAUGUAUGGUACUUUGCCAAGGUCAAGGAGUAGCUUCCCGCAAAAAAAAAAAAGGUUCAAGGAGUAGCACCAGCACCUCUGAAGCAGCAGCAAAAGGAUCAAAACCACAUUCUUCAGCAUCCUACUCGGCAAAAAAAGGGCGAAAAGACUGACUUCCAGAAAAAAAACAUGAAGAAUUCUUCAAGCACCAGACUGAGACAGAUUCCUUGAGAAGUGCGCUUGAUAAUAUCAGGUGGUCAGGUUCUUUUCUAAGUUGAGGUAGGGUUGCCUCUUCAAUCUGUGAUAUUCAAAUGAGAGGGAAAUGAAUAUAUAGAGGAAUAUAAUUAGAAUACAUUAUUAGCAACCUCCAAAUUUUUAUCAUGUCUCAUGGCCAGUUCAAUACUUCUUUCUUGAUGCAACGGCUGAUAUAUGGUUGUUUUCCAUGGCUAUGUUAGUAAACUUUUAUGCAAAUUUAUAUUAUUCUCUUAUUCACUAAUGAUUA